rnacentral:rRNA from 1 species
CGGCGUCCCAGUUCGGAUUGCAGCCUGCAACUCGGCUGCAUGAAGCUGGAAUCGCUAGUAAUCGCGGAUCAGAAUGCCGCGGUGAAUACGUUCCCGGGUCUUGUACACACCGCCCGUCACACCAUAGGGAGCCGGAAAUGCCCGAAGUCAGUGGCCCAACCGCAAGGGGGAGCUGCCGAAGGCAGGUCUGGUAACUGGGGUGAAGUCGUAACAAGGUAGC